AUGCCCCCCACCCCCACCCACCACGGCCUCUCACGCGCGCGGCCGCCAUCGCCGUUCCCGUUCUUCCUCGUCGGGACAUCGCGUUCCUGCCGUCUCCACCCCGUCCGCAGGCGCGCACCCGGCAGAACUUCUAGAUUCGCCCCCGCGGCGGCGCCCGACAUGUCGACCCCCUCCGGCUCCGGGGAAGCCGACGGGGCCGUCCCCGCUGCCUCUACGUAUUACGACGUCUUCGGUCCCGAUGCUAAACCUGAUGUUAUUUUUAAGGAGGCCACUUCAGAUUCCACAUUGAAUUUGCAGGAUGUCCAGGGGCUAGUAACUUGGGUUAUUGGUGAAGGCAUGCCGCCUUCAUGGGUGUUUGUUAAAAACAAGCCUCUUAUCCCAAAAGUUAUCCUUCUCUAUGUUCCUGGCCUCGAUGCAGCUUUAUACAUGUCUCAGUCCCGCCUCCUUUCUUCUUUGAAAGGAUUGUGUGGCAAUCCAAAACCUGUUCUAGCUUCAAGCUGUAUACCAGAUGAAAGGCAUACCAUUGACGCACUCCUGACAUGCAGAGUAAAGCGAAAGCGGCAGCCACAAACUUCAAACCAAUCAUAUGAAUCUGAUGGAGGUAAAUUAUCGAGUCUGGCGGACCUAAAAGAUAUACCUUUUCCUGUUAAAUAUUACACACUUUCUAAAAAGGACUUGGAAGAUAAUGGCUACACACUCAAUUUACCAGGUUUUGUCCCUACGGUUGCAGCUCCUAGAGGCUCUUCCCCAUACGAAAUUCUCGCACUUGAUUGUGAGAUGUGUGUGACAGCAGCUGGAUUUGAACUUACAAGAGUGACAUUAGUCGAUAUUAAAGGAGAGGUGAUACUGGAUAAACUAGUCAAGCCUACUAAUCCAAUAACUGAUUACAAUACAAGGUUUAGUGGAAUCACUGCUGAGAUGCUAUCCGAUGUGACAACAACCCUCCAGGAGAUUCAGGAAGAGUUUGUUGGACUUGUGUACAAAGAAACCAUUCUUGUUGGGCAUUCUUUGGAAAAUGACCUUUUGGCAUUACGGAUAUCUCAUGACUUGGUCAUCGAUACUGCUGUUUUGUACAAAUAUAAUCGUGGCCCACGCUGUAAAAUUGCUUUACGUGUCCUUGCAAACAAAUAUCUUAGCCGGGUGAUCCAGAACACAGGGUCUGGGCAUGACAGCGUGGAAGAUGCAAGAGCUGCUCUGGAUCUUGCCUUUUUGAAAAUCAAAUACGGUCCUGAUUUUGGCUCUCCACCAUCGUUUUCACGAAGAAAGUUGUCUUCCAUUCUGCAUGAAUGUGGGAAAAGGAGUUCCCUCAUUGAUGAAGUGUUUGUUCUUGACCGCUAUUCAGAUGCUUCCUGCAAUUCAAUUGCAGUUUUCUCAGAUGAUGACGCCCUCUCCAGAUCAAUGAAAGAGGUAAAGAAUGACAAAAUCAGCUUUGUCUGGACUCAGUUUUCAGGAUUGAUCUCUUAUCUACGUAAAAGAGCUGAAGAUCCUGAAAAAUUGAAAUCCUGUGUUGCAGAGGCUAUUGCAUUGAAAACCUGUGAUAGAAAAACUGCCCGGAAAAGAGCAAAGCAAAUUUGUCCAGAGCUGAAGGCAAUUUUGAGUGAAUUGGACAAGAAAAUAAAAAAACUAUAUGAUACACUGCCUGAAAAUGCAAUGUUUAUUAUAUGUACCGGUCAUGGGGAUACUCCUUUGGUCCAAAGAUUAAAGAAAAUGCUCAACCACAGAGAAGAAACAGUCGAUAGCCGGGAAAAUAUUGUCCAUGCAUUGGAAGAUUUACAGGCUCAAGCAGAAGUUGCUCUAUGCUUCUGCUGUGUCAAGCAUUAG
rnacentral:rRNA from 1 species